CGCGUAGGCGGUUUUGCAAGCCAGAGGUGAAAUGCCUGAGCUCAACUCAGGAAUGGCCUUUGGGACUGCGAGGCUUUGAGGACUGGAGAGGUGAGUGGAAUUCCCAGUGUAGAGGUGAAAUUCGUAGAUAUUGGGAAGAACACCGGUGGCGAAGGCGGCUCACUGGCCAGUUUCUGACGCUGCAGCGCGAAAGCGUGGGGAUCAAACAGGAUUAGAUACCCUGGUAGUCCACGCUGUAAACGAUGAGUGCUAGGCGUCGGCAUGCAUGCAUGUCGGUGCCGCAGCUAACGCGUGAAGCACUCCGCCUGGGGAGUACGGUCGCAAGAUUAAA
rnacentral:rRNA from 1 species